UCAGAGAUUUUUGCUUCAAUGUGGAGAAGUAAGGAAGGCGGAGUGAUUGAGAGCCUGAUCAAGCUUUCAGAUGCGGAUUACGCCCCAGGGAAAAACCAAGGAGAGGAAUGAGAUGAACAGGAAGAUGAUGGGGCUAUCAGACAAUGCAUUGGACACGAGGUGUUAUAUUCAUGUGCACGAUGAGCGAGUGUUGCAGAUCUGACAAUGCAGUGAACACAUGGGUGUUCCAACAUGUAGCACGAUGAGACGAGUGCUUCAUGGGUUGUGGACCAGAUUGAAGGAGAUUGACCGGAAGAAUACAUCUCAGUACAAAGUCUAUUGAGGAGGUUGUGUGAAGCUUCGGAGAGGGAUAUGGUGGGCAGGAACAAAUGAGCGAGUUCCAGAGAAGAGGCACAGGAAGAGGUCAAGAGAAGAGGCCAGAGAAGGAGGUCUCAGGAGAGGCAAGAAAGGAGGCUAGAGAAGAGGUCAAGCAGAUGAUGGAGGAUGGCCAGAAUCCAGAGGUCCACUUUAAGGCUUUUAUUCGCGACCAGGAGGGACAAGAAGAAUUGUCCAAGAAACAAAGCACCAGAUCAGAUCUUCGAGCAGCAAAACAGCAAUGAUGCUGGGAUAAGAGUGAUUGUUCUCCUAGCAGGCAUCGGCAGAUGAAGAGUCAGAUUGGUUUCUGAUUCAGAAUUGCCUUACCACUUGUGAAGAGACAAAGAGAUGUUAUCAUACACAUGUAGCAUGCGAGGGACUUGUUCGGAUGGCUACGAUGCAUUGUUGGCAAAGGACAGUCCGGUUCCGCCAUGGAGACGGAAGAUCCAUGAAGGUGACCGGGGUAAGGCAUGUUUCAUUGAGUGCAGAGUCGAAGCGACGAAGCUUUGAAGCUAGUGGAGGACACCAGAGUUUCCAGGGGAACAUGAAUGCUGCAAGGAGAAGGAAGACUGGAAGGCAUAUACCGACUGAGGGAGAAUGUCCAAACAGGAGAGCUUGCUGUCUGAAUAGUCCAGUGGUAUUAGCAAGAAAUGACGAGGAAAGCAAUCGUUGACCACAGAGGCACGCCAAGCAAGCGAAGGAAUUACCAGAAGUGUACUUGCAGGAUCCAGAGUGGUACAGGAGCGCAAGGAGGAUGCUUUGGGAUACGUGCGGAAGUCUGGCCAGACACGAGAAGGUGCAACCAGAUCAGGAGUCCAGAAGAAGCUCAGAGGAGAGAGACAGAGUAGAUGUACAGGACAGGCGUGAGUCGCCGGAACGAAUAUCUUCGCUACUAGAAAAAGUGGCGUAAUCUCUCAGUUUUGUGAAUUAAGGGAGGAGAGAUAGAGUCACGACGAUUUCCAAAGGCGAGACUUUGCGCGCAACCGGUGGGGGGGAGCAGAGCACCUAGGUGAGAAGGUGCGGCACUUCAGGUGUGGAAGUGCAAUCACUUCAGUGAAGGUGGAGUUGCCCACGAAUGAGGGUAACAUAUAUCGGAUACCUGUCUUGAGAUCUACAAGGAGCUGGAUCAGAAGUGUCAGAGAUGGAUAACUUGAAGAUUUCAGAGUACCCUCCAAUGGGCUGGAGGGGGAGAUUGUUGGAUCCAGCCCAUGGGAUCCAAGCCAUUAUAAGCAAAUGAAAGCCCAAGGGCCCAAGUCUUCCAUGCCUUGCCAUUUCCUCAAUCCUAUCUUCCAGGCAGCCUCAAUUUGAACAAUCUGUCACGAGGACAAAGUCUUGAUAGAGGCGGAGGAAGGAAAAGAAUUGCAGAGAGUAAGGAUGUCGGCUGGAGGGGGAUUGUCAACAAGGAGGCUCCCUCACCACUCUAUAUUUUAAAUGGUUCCCAUUUGAGGAAGCAUAAGAGUGGAAGAGGCAAGAUGUAAUCCUUGGAAGGAUUACCUAACCACUCACUUAGCACCCACUCGACGUUCAGCUUGUUUGCUGUGUGCAAGAGAGGGCUGAGAGAGAGUUGGUUUGGGGGGAGAUGCUAGUGUGCUAGUGAAGCACACCGAGAGCACCGAGAGAAGACUCUGGAAGAAAUUGGGCCUAGAAUUGGUAUCUGUCUGUUGAGAUCUGAUAGAGAGAGACAAAAGUGAACCGAAUGGUGAUACGAUAGAGAGAUGUGCUUAAGUGAGAUGGAGAUGAGCUCCUCCCUAUUGUACUCAUUGUAAUAUUCAUUUCUGUUUCCUAGUGAAGGCUGUUCCUCUCCGUGGAUGUAGGCAUUGUUGGCCGAACCACGUAAAUCUUUUGUCUAGUGUGUGUUGUUAUGUUGGUGGAGGUGACUGGUACAUCAUCGUUUUUGGCACAACAAUCCGACUUUAGUCGGCCUCCAUUAGUAGACGGAUCGACCUUUUAAAUGCUAUUAAUUCCUAAGUUGGGUCAAUUUAGUUCAUACAGAAUUUUGUCUCGACCGUAAUUGGACACCGCUAAUAAACAGUGAAAUUGACUCCCGAAUUAGUCAGUCCUUAACCAUAUACCGAGUUAUAAAAAACAAUAUAAGGAUACCGAUCUUGAAAAUGUGAAAUUGCUAACUCAGAUUCUCUAUAGAUAA
rnacentral:lncRNA from 1 species